UACGGAGGAUUCAAGCGUUAUCCGGAUUUAUUGGGUUUUAAAGGGUGCGUAGGUUGUUUUAUAAGUUAGCGGUGAAAUACGAUGCUCAACAACUCGGGGCUGCCGCUGGAGUACUGUAGACUAGAGAUCGGAUGCAGCAGGCGGAAUGUCGUAGUGUAGCGGAUGAAUGCAUAGAUGAUUACACAGAACAACCGAUUGCGAAGGCAGCUUGCUAGGCCGGAUCUGACAGCUGAUGACACGAAAGGCAGUGGGGAUCGAA
rnacentral:rRNA from 1 species